rnacentral:rRNA from 1 species
CGCGUAGGCGGAUUGUACAGUCAGAUGUGAAAUUCCCGGGCUCAACCUGGGGGCUGCAUUUGAUACGUAUGAUCUUGAGUGAGGAAGAGGGUCGUGGAAUUCCCAGUGUAGAGGUGAAAUUCGUAGAUAUUGGGAAGAACACCGGUGGCGAAGGCGGCGACCUGGUCCUUUACUGCGCUGAGGCGCGAAAGCGGUGGGGAGCAAACA